UACGAAGGGGGCUAGCGUUGCUCGGAAUCACUGGGCGUAAAGCGCACGUAGGCGGCUUUCUAAGUCAGGGGUGAAAUCCUGGAGCUCAACUCCAGAACUGCCUUUGAUACUGGAGAGCUUGAGUCCGGGAGAGGUGAGUGGAACUCCGAGUGUAGAGGUGAAAUUCGUAGAUAUUCGGAAGAACACCAGUGGCGAAGGCGGGUCG
rnacentral:rRNA from 1 species